GACGAACGCUGGCGGCGUGCUUAACACAUGCAAGUCGAACGGUAAGGCCCUUCGGGGUACACGAGUGGCGAACGGGUGAGUAACACGUGGGUGAUCUGCCCUGCACUUCGGGAUAAGCCUGGGAAACUGGGUCUAAUACCGGAUAGGACCACUGCCUGCAUGGGCGGGGGUGGAAAGCUUUUGCGGUGUGGGAUGGGCCCGCGGCCUAUCAGCUUGCUGGUGGGGUGAUGGCCUGCCAAGGCGACGACGGGUAGCCGGCCUGAGAGGGUGACCGGCCACACGGGGACAGAGAAACGGCCGAGACUACUACGGGAGGCAGCAGUGGGGAAUAGUGCACAAUGGGCGCAAGCCUGAUGCAGCGACGCCGCGUGAGGGAUGACGGCCUUCGGGUUGUAAACCUCUUUCAGAACCGACGAAGCGCAAGUGACGGUAGGUGCAGAAGAAGGACCGGCCAACUACGUGCCAGCAGCCGCCGUAA
rnacentral:rRNA from 1 species